GCGGUGAAUCCGUGCCCGGGCCUUGUACACACCGCCCGUCACACUAUAGGAGCUGGCCAUGUUUGAAGUCAUUACCCUUAACCGUAAGGAGGGGGAUGCCUAAGGCUAGGCUUGCGACUGGAGUGAAGUCGUAACAAGGUAGCCGUACUGGAAGGUGCGGCUGGAUCACCUCCUUU
rnacentral:ncRNA from 1 species